GUGAAAUCUGCCUAAACUAGGAAGCCAGAGGAGUAAGACCCUGAUGGAAACCACGCUUGCCUGUCGGUCCUGAUUUUGCCCCAGUCCUUCAAUACGCCUCUCACGGAUCUGUACGCUAAUAAUUGAUCCUAAAGAGGCAGGCAGACACCCCGACAGCGACACCUCGUCUCUCUUCUGGGCGUCCGGCUGAGCUUGCCUCACUGCAGAAGCAACCGAUAGCUUCCCUUUGCGCUGGUGGAAGACACAAGCCAGCAGCCCUUCGGAGGGGCCUCCCCGCACGCGCCUCUUGGGAUCCUGACUUGCUUAGGAAGAGGAGGGCACGGGGAGCCUCCUGCUCUGCAGCUGUCCCCAGGAUGCCCUUAAUUCCCGGGACAGGAGAGAUAAGCUCGUCUGACCUCAGUUGACCUCGCCGCAGGCGCCAGGCGUCCUCAUUUACUGCGAGGCAUUGGGGAGUCUACUUUUCUCUCUGCUCCCUGGGAUUUUUUUCCUUACGUCACUUUUUUCCUUGUUGGCUUGUAGCUGGUCUGAUGUCCCCUUACUGCUAUCUAAACCGCCCCCCUCUACUCCCUGCUCCCACCUAGGCACGCGUUUGCCACUCUCCAUUUUUCCUUUAAAGAAAACGUUCUGAGAGCCCUUUGAACCCAGCUGACCCUGGGAAAGGGCAGGUCCGUGGAUGUGAAGGCAAGUCCAGCAACUGGGGCUGCACUUACCUACAUGUGAAAAGGAAAGAGAAACACACCUUGCCUGCCCAUUGUCUACACCACGAAGCCCGGAUUCCAUUCCCUGGUAGUCAGGCCUUUCACACUGGGCUGCCCUCCAGGUAAUAUCCAAAGAUGCCCCCAGCCUACUCCAGCCCCUAACAGGACACUCAAAGGGACUCUGUGUUCGUGACUGCUGGAAUUUCUGCUGAGACCCCAACACAGAACAAUAUAUGGGUCAAACAACUCCCACCCCCAUUCUCAAGUGAGGUAUAGACCCUCUCUGGGGUGUUGUUAAGGGACCGACACCAGCCUCGCCUUGGGGUGAUACGAUAGGAGGCUAAGGAUGCAGGAGAGGCCAGCAGUGGGUCUUUCUUUUUAGAGAGGUGUCUAUAUGUUUUGCUUCUCCACCUACCUCAAGAUAAAUGACUUGGGCUCCAGAGAACUCCCUGAAGAGCUUUAGGUGUCUCCUGGAGUUUGGGAGGUGUAAGGACAGAUGCAACCUGCAAAGCAGACGGCUGUUUGCAGUGGCGAGAGAAGGAGGUAUUUGGAGCCACCUCUUCUUCCAAGAGCCAGUGAGUUAUACAUGCACUAAGUCUCCCUAGAGGCAGGGUGGACCCACAUCCCCCCACAGGGGCGAGGUGAGCAGCACAUGCCAGGACCUGAGGGUGACGAGUGAGUGCCAGCUAACAGGGGCUACCCAUGUCCCAGAGCUGCAGCUGGUGAACUGGCAACAACAGGGGAAGAGGAUUGAGAAAACCCAGAAAAGCAUCCGCAGAAGAGCCAGCAUGUGCACAUCUGCCACUCCCAAGGGCACCAACCCCAAAUGCAGCUGAAUCCUCCUUGAAGAGCUUUGUUCUUUGGGCCCUGAGAAACCUGCUAUGGCCUGAAUGUUGAUGUCCCCCCAGAAUUUGUUUGUGAACGCUAAUACCCAAUAUGACAGUAUUAAGAGGUGGGACUUCUGGAAAGCGAUGAAGUCAUGAAGGUGGAGCCCUCAUGAAUGAGAUUAGUGCUUUUAUAAAAGAGAUCGAAGGAAGCUGCCU
rnacentral:lncRNA from 1 species